rnacentral:rRNA from 1 species
NUACUUUCCGCCAGAGAACUACAAGUGAAAAACUUGAAACUCAAAGGACUUGACGGUGUCCCAUAUCGGCCUAGAGGAGCCUGUCCUGUAAUCGAUAAUCCCCGUUCCACCCAACCUCAACUAGCAAAAUAUCAGCCUAUAUACCGCCGUCGACAGUUUACCCUAUGAAGGCCCAAUAGUAAACACAAUAGCCUCAUCGCUAACACGUCAGGUCAAGGUGUAGCAAAUGUUGAGGAAGAGAUUGGCUACAUUUUUUAUAAUAAAAAAUACGAAUUGCACUAUGAAACAUUGCAUGAAGGUGAAUUUAGCAGUAAAACAGAUAAGAGUGUCUGCUUUAACAACGCUCUGGGACGCGUACACACCGCCCGUCACCC